AAAUAAGAGAUAUAACCGCGGAAACAGGUUAUGAUGAUAUAGUCUGUUUCUGAGGCAAAGUCCGGGCUCCACCGGAAAUAAUGCCGGAUAAGAACCGGGCAGAAAUCGGCAGUUGCAUAAUUUCUUGCAUAACCCGAAAUCUGACAGAAAGUGCAGCAGAAAAUAACCGCAUUCGAAAGAGUGUAAGGGUGAAAAGGCGGGGUAAGAGCCCACCGGAUUUCUGGUAACAGAAAUUGCAGGUAAACCUCAUUUGGAGCAAGGUCAAGCAGCAGCUAUGUGUUCCGGACAGUUACGCUGCGGGUAGAUCGCUAAAGGUUUCGGGCAACUGAAAUCUCGGAUAGAUGGUUAUGCGGACGCAAGUCCAGACCAGAACCCGGCUUACUGUCUCUUAUUUUUAU
rnacentral:RNase_P_RNA from 1 species